AUGANGAAAUGUUNAAAGGUGGCUUUUAGCUAUCACUUACAGAUGGACCCGCGGCGCAUUAGCUAGUUGGUGAGGUAACGGCUCACCAAGGCGACGAUGCGUAGCCGACCUGAGAGGGUGAUCGGCCACACUGGGACUGAGACACGGCCCAGACUCCUACGGGAGGCAGCAGUAGGGAAUCUUCCGCAAUGGACGAAAGUCUGACGGAGCAACGCCGCGUGAGUGAUGAAGGUUUUCGGAUCGUAAAACUCUGUUGUUAGGGAAGAACAAGUACCGUUCGAAUAGGGCGGUACCUUGACGGUACCUAACCAGAAAGCCCACGGCUAACUACGUGCCAGCAGCCGCGGUAAUACGUANGUGGCAAGCGUUGUCCGGAAUUAUUGGGCGUAAAGCGCGCGCAGGUGGUUUCUUAAGUCUGAUGUGAAAGCCCACGGCUCACCGUGGGAAGGGUCAUUGGAAAACUGGGGGAACUUUGAGUUGCCAGAAAAAAGGAAAAGUGGGAAUUCCCAAGUNGUANCCGGUGNAAAAUGGCNUUAAAAAUUUUUUGGAAGGGAACNCCCCAGUGGGCGAAAGCCGAACNUUUNUUGGUNNUGUAACUGNCCCUUGGAGGGCCCNAAAACCGUUNGGGGGAGCAAACCC
rnacentral:rRNA from 1 species